rnacentral:lncRNA from 1 species
GAUCCAGCACUGUAGAAGUGCACCUGUUAUUCCGUGAGCUCCUAAUGGCGUUGCGGAACAUUCAGGUGCCAAAAAUAUAUUUUCUAAAUGCAACGUUUUUCAGCAUCUCAGAGUCACUUCUGAAACAACCUGUUCAUCACGGACUGCUGCUGAACAGGAGUGCUCCACAAGCCCGCACUUUUUCUCACCAAGUGCAAGUGCUCUUCACAGAGUCUCUGAGGAGAAAAAAAAGGCGGGAAAAAAAAACCCGAGUGGGACUGGCGGUGUGCUGGGAAAGAGGCACUGCCGAAGCCUCAAGACCCUCCCUAGACACUCUAAACUUGUAAGGUAGAUUAUGCCAGCAAUGCAUACAUAUUAGUGAAAGGCAGGCAGUGCUCCUUGUGCCUACUGACACCACGUAGGUGAGUGCCCACGAACAUGGGGAGAGUUUUUGAGAUGAAUCCAGUAGAAAGAACAAACCUCCAAGUACUUCCAGCACUGCCUCAGGGCACUGGUGUGCUCCCAGUGGGCCUGGGGCACCAAGGAGGUGGACAUGGGCCUGGGGCACCAAGGAGGUCUGGGAAAAGCCUUGGCUAUGAAGAUGAAAGAACUCUCUCCUUAGCUGGGCAGAAAGAUGUAUAAAAGCGGCCCUGGAGAAUGGACAGAAAGGUCUCAGAACGCGGUGCAUGGUUUGCUUCUGUUUCACUUCAAACCUCGAUGCCUCACUGGUGCAGUUAUGGACCUGAGCUCUGAGAUGUGAGAUUUGAUCAUCUGUUCUCAUACGCGUGAAACCAAGUAAAGAUCAACAGAUACUGAAACGAGAGCAGUGAGCAUUAACACUGAGGGAACUGGGCACACAUGAAUUGCUCCAUCAGAGACAGCCACAUCACCAGGUAUAUGAAACACCUUGAUUUCCUACAGUUUACUGAGUUCAAUAUUGAAUAAGACUGCUAGAUCUAUAGACA